UGCAAGUCGAACGGUAACAGGAAGCAGCUUGCUGCUUCGCUGACGAGUGGCGGACGGGUGAGUAAUGUCUGGGAAACUGCCUGAUGGAGGGGGAUAACUACUGGAAACGGUAGCUAAUACCGCAUAAUGUCGCAAGACCAAAGAGGGGGACCUUCGGGCCUCUUUCCAUCGGAUGUGCCCAGAUGGGAUUAGCUUGUUGGUGGGGUAACGGCUCACCAAGGCGACGAUCCCUAGCUGGUCUGAGAGGAUGACCAGCCACACUGGAACUGAGACACGGUCCAGACUCCUACGG
rnacentral:rRNA from 1 species